AUUGAACGCUGGCGGCAGGCCUAACACAUGCAAGUCGAGCGAGCGGCGGACGGGUGAGUAAUGCCUGGGAAUUGCCCAGUCGAGGGGGAUAACAGUUGGAAACGACUGCUAAUACCGCAUACGAUUGGAUUGCCCAGGUGGGAUUAGCUAGUUGGUGAGGUAAUGGCUCACCAAGGCGACGAUCCCUAGCUGGUCUUAGAGGAUGAUCAGAAAAACGGGAACGGAGACACGGUCCAGACUCCGACGGGGGGCAGCAGGGGGGAAUAUUGGACAAUGGGGGAAACCCUGAUGCAGCCAGGCCGCGUGGGUGAAGAAGGCCUUCGGGUGGUAAAGCACGUUCAGCGAGGAGGCGUUACUCGCAGAAGAAGCACCGGCUAACUCCGUGCCAGCAGCCGCGGUAAUUC
rnacentral:rRNA from 1 species